UAGGGAAUCUUCCGCAAUGGACGCAAGUCUGACGGAGCAACGCCGCGUGAGUGAAGAAGGAUUUCGGUUCGUAAAACUCUGUUGUUAGAGAAGAACAGCGCAUAGAGUAACUGUUAUGCGUGUGACGGUAUCUAACCAGAAAGCCACGGCUAACUACGUGCCAGCAGCCGCGGUAAUACGUAGGUGGCAAGCGUUGUCCGGAUUUAUUGGGCGUAAAGCGAGCGCAGGCGGUCAAUUAAGUCUGAUGUGAAAGCCCCCGGCUCAACCGGGGAGGGUCAUUGGAAACUGGUUGACUUGAGUGCAGAAGAGGAGAGUGGAAUUCCAUGUGUAGCGGUGAAAUACGUAGAUAUAUGGAGGAACACCAGUGGCGAAGGCGACUCUCUAGUCUGUAACUGACGCUGAGGCUCGAAAGCGUGGGUAGCAAACAGG
rnacentral:rRNA from 1 species